AGGCUGAAACCCGCCUCCAUGAAGUUGGAUUCGCUAGUAAUCGCGCAUCAGCCAUGGCGCGGUGAAUACGUUCCCGGGCCUUGUACACACCGCCCGUCAAGCCAUGGGAGCCGGGGGGUGCCUGAAGUUCGUGACCGCAAGGAGCGACCUAGGGCAAAACUGGUGACUGGGGCUAAGUCGUAACAAGGUACC
rnacentral:rRNA from 1 species